rnacentral:rRNA from 1 species
UACGUAGGGUGCAAGCGUUGUCCGGAAUUAUUGGGCGUAAAGAGCUCGUAGGCGGUUUGUCGCGUCUGCUGUGAAAACCGGAGGCUCAACCUCCGGCCUGCAGUGGGUACGGGCAGACUAGAGUGCGGUAGGGGAGAUUGGAAUUCCUGGUGUAGCGGUGAAAUGCGCAGAUAUCAGGAGGAACACCGAUGGCGAAGGCAGGUCUCUGGGCAUUAACUGACGCUGAGGAGCGAAAGCAUGGGGAGCGAACAGG